GACGAACGCUGGCGGCGUGCUUAACACAUGCAAGUCGAACGGAAAGGCCCCUUUGGGGGUCCUCGAGUGGCGAACGGGUGAGUAACACGUGAGUAACCUGCCCUUGACUUCGGGAUAACUUCAGGAAACUGGGGCUAAUACCGGAUAGGAAUCCUUGCUGCAUGGUGGGGGUUGGAAAGCUUCGGCGGUUUUGGAUGGACUUGCGGCUUAUCAGCGUGUUGGUGGGGUAGUGGCUUACCAAGGCUUUGACGGGUAGCCGGCCUGAGAGGGCGACCGGCCACAUUGGGACUGGGAUACGGCCCAGACUCCUACGGGAGGCAGCAGUGGGGAAUAUUGCACAAUGGGCGGAAGCGUGAUGCAGCAACGCCGCGGGCGGGAUGACGGCCUUCGGGUUGUAAACCGCUUUCAGCAGGGGCGAAGCUUGUGGUGACGGUACCUGCAGAAGAAGCACCGGCUAACUACGUG
rnacentral:rRNA from 1 species